UAAUUUAUUUGUUUUCAAAUUGUUUUUUUUAUCGCCAAUCAAAUAUUUUGUUUACUCUGUUUCUAUGACUUUUCUAAUAAGAUUGUUCAUGUAGAUAAUUAUUAUAAGUAGGUAUAGUCUCUAUCACGUGGGUAGUACUUUGUAUUGUUAAAGAGCAACAAGUUUAUUUCUCAUAUCGCCUCCUCAAAACGCAUUAUCUAUAUUGACAUUUGUGUAAAUGUGAUGAUGGCAUCGUUAAUAUUUCAGGAUUUUAGAACAUCGUAUCAAGCAGACUUUCCGUUUCAACUCAGCCUUUGGAAGACGUAUGAAAAGACAUCUCUACACACUACAUAAAACGUUUGUUCUGAGACAUUAAGAUCAAAUUCAAUCAAAUUUGUCUUCUUCACUUAAAUCAACGUAUACAACAGAUACCACACGCCAACUCCAUGUAUUGCAUUAUCAAAGAAGUAUUCAUCAAACUACAUAAAGAAGCUUGACUAGGAGAACCACUUGUUAGGGGCAUGUUAUCAUUAAAUAUUGAAAAAAAAUAGAUCUGAGUUCACUAGUCUUGUGAUACUGGAUUUAAUAAUCAUUAACCACGCUUCAACAAAGAAAAAGAUACAACUGCUAAAAUGGAGAAUUAUAGAUUAAAUGAAAUUGGCAAAAGUGGUUUUUUCCCCAAUUUAUCAAGAACUCUUUACAUUGGAAACUUAAAUGAAAAUAUUAAUGAAGCUACAUUAUAUAAAUAUUUUGGAGUAUUUGGAGAU